AAGACUAUACUUUCAGGGAUCAUUUCUAUAGUUCGUUACUAGAGAAGUUUCUCUGACUGUGUAGAGUACCUGUUAGGACUAUAUGUCUCAUGGUAGG
rnacentral:snoRNA from 1 species